rnacentral:rRNA from 1 species
GACGAACGCUGGCGGCGUGCUUAACACAUGCAAGUCGAACGGAAAGGCCCUGCUUUUGUGGGGUGCUCGAGUGGCGAACGGGUGAGUAACACGUGAGUAACCUGCCCUUGACUUUGGGAUAACUUCAGGAAACUGGGGCUAAUACCGGAUAGGAGCUCCUGCUGCAUGGUGGGGGUUGGAAAGUUUCGGCGGUUAGGGAUGGACUCGCGGCUUAUCAGCUUGUUGGUGGGGUAGUGGCUUACCAAGGCUUUGACGGGUAGCCGGCCUGAGAGGGUGACCGGCCACAUUGGGACUGAGAUACGGCCCAGACUCCUACGGGAGGCAGCAGUGGGGAAUAUUGCACAAUGGGCGGAAGCCUGAUGCAGCAACGCCGCGUGCGGGAUGACGGCCUUCGGGUUGUAAACCGCUUUCGCCUGUGGCGAAGCGUGAGUGACGGUAAUGGGUAAAGAAGCACCGGCUAACUACGUG